rnacentral:sRNA from 1 species
UUGCCUAACAGGACCAUUUUGUUGUCCAAGAUUACAAAUGUUAUCUCAUUUCAGUUCAGUCUUUCUGAUUCUCUUCUGAUGGACUGCUGCUCUGCUUGUAUAUGUGUCUUUAGUUUGGUGCCUCUCAUCUUUUAGUUAUGCUGACUCUAGAAGUAAGAACUAUGUGUACAUAGUAUAAUUUUGGAAAAUAUAUAAAUGCAAAGAAGAAAGCAAAAACAAAAAAACCUCAAUGAGUCCCACUACUUAUGCAUGCUGUUACAAUCCAAGCUCAAUGAAUUUUCUUUCUUUGAUCCUAAUGAUGCAUCAUGCCAGGAAAUUCUUUUUGAUCCCAAAACUUCAGUUUCAGAAUUAUUUGCCAUUUUGAGACAGUGGGUUCC